rnacentral:rRNA from 1 species
CACGUAGGCACCAAGCGUUGUCCGGAUUUAUUGGGCGUAAAGAGCUCGUAGGCGGUUCAGUAAGUCAGGUGUGAAAUCUUUGGGCUUAACCCAAAGCGUGCACUUGAUACUGCUGUGACUUGAGUUCGGUAGGGGAGUGGGGAAUUCCUGGUGUAGCGGUGAAAUGCGCAGAUAUCAGGAGGAACACCAAUUGCGAAGGCAGCUCGCUGGAACGUUACUGACGCUGAGACGCGAAAGCGUGGGGAGCAAACAGG